rfam:Vibrio cholerae O1 biovar eltor str. N16961 chromosome I, complete sequence.
UUUCGCCGUAGAGGAGCGGUUACGAAAAGUAUCCACAGUUGGGGUGAUGCCAAUGAAUUGUGGAAAAAGGCGUUGCCGCCGAAGUCAACUUGCCCAUCAACGCAGUUGGCUGGGGUUACAUUCAAUAGGUGUAACACUGCCAUAGUCUAUAUUGUUGUUAAACUAUGGAGCGCUACUGUAGGG